AGAAAUAUGUCUGAUAAAAGAGUUACUUUGAUAGAGUAAAACAUAGAGGUUCAAACCCUCUUAUUUCUA
rnacentral:tRNA from 2 species